UGCAGGCUGCAACUCGCCUGCAUGAAGCUGGAAUUGCUAGUAAUCGCGGAUCAGCAAGCCGCGGUGAAUACGUUCCCGGGCCUUGUACACACCGCCCGUCACACCAUGAGAGCCGGGAACACCCGAAGUCCGUAGUCUAACCUAUAUGGAGGACGCGGCCGAAGGUGGGUUUGGUAAUUGGGGUGAAGUCGUAACAAGGUAAC
rnacentral:rRNA from 1 species